rnacentral:lncRNA from 1 species
GCUUGCUAAGGUACUCAGCUCCCAGCAUUAAAAAAAUGCUGUUGAUAUACCAUUUUGAUUGAAAACACUUCUUUGCAAACCCUAGUCUUGGGAUAGGAGGAAAAUAACAACGGCUACGAUCACUACAACUGAUUUGCUAUGAUUCUCUCUGCUGAAAUUGAGAUAAAAUUUGCCACAUGCCACUCUGAAAUUGAUUACCUUCUCAACUCAGUCAAUAGCAAAGAACUUGGUCUCACUAAUUCAGAGUGGCUUAGGUCAUGCCUCCCGCUGACAGUGUGACGGAGAAGCCAAAAGGAGCAGCUCUAGGGAGGGGCAGAGAAGGCAGCUCUUUUAUCAGAAUCUUCCUCUUCUUCCCUUAAUGCACAAAUGGUAAAGUUACAAGGAGAUCUUCUCUUUCCUCUUUUGAUGUAUUUCAACAUACCAUGGCUUCUACACCAUACAAAUAAAAUUGAAGGAGAGUGAAGAACGUGAAACAGUAGACACAGUUAAAUGAUUAUUCACUGAUAGCAGGAGAAUCAGGCAAAUCCCACCACCUGUUUAUGGCCUCCCAACACAGACUCACUGACCAGAGAAACCAUCAGUUGCUGCUACAACAUGGCUUGAUGAGUGGUGUCGGUCUGCACCUGAGAUCCAAACUUGAGAACCGGGCCGCUGAAGCGGAGCAUGCCAGACUUAACCACUACACCACGGGGCUGACACCACA